rnacentral:rRNA from 1 species
GAACCAACAGGGAUUGCCUCAGUAACGGCGAGUGAAGCGGCAACAGCUCAAAUUUGAAAUCUGGCCCUCUCAGGGUCCGAGUUGUAAUUUGGAGAAGAUGCUUCGGGUGUGGCCCCGGUCUAAGUUCCUUGGAACAGGACGUCACAGAGGGUGAGAAUCCCGUACGUGACCGGUGGCCUCCCCCGUGUGAAGCUCUUUCGACGAGUCGAGUUGUUUGGGAAUGCAGCUCAAAAUGGGUGGUAAAUUUCAUCUAAAGCUAAAUAUUGGCCAGAGACCGAUAGCGCACAAGUAGAGUGAUCGAAAGAUGAAAAGCACUUUGGAAAGAGAGUUAAACAGUACGUGAAAUUGUUGAAAGGGAAGCGCUUGCAACCAGACUUGCGCGCGGCCGAUCAUCUGGUGUUCUCACCGGUGCACUCGGCCGCGCUCAGGCCAGCAUCGGUUUGGGUGGCUGGAUAAAGGCCUCGGGAAUGUGGCUCUCUCCGGGGAGUGUUAUAGCCCGAGGUGCAAUGCAGCCUACCCGGACCGAGGACCGCGCUUCGGCUAGGAUGCUGGCGUAAUGGUUGUAAGCGACCCGUC